rnacentral:rRNA from 1 species
GGGUCAGUAGGUUGGUCGUGCCACCGGUACGUACUGGUCUCACCGAUUCCUCCUUCCUGAAGAACCGUAAUGCCAUUAAUUUGGUGUUGCGGGGAAACAGGACUGUCACUUUGAAAAAAUUAGAGUGUUUAAAGCAAGCUAACGCUUGAAUACAUUAGCAUGGAAUAAUGAAAUAGGACGAUCGAUCCUAUUUUGUUGGUUUCUAGGAUUGACGUA